UGCAAGUUAAUUUGGCAUUAGGUGUGGAGGAACUCUCGUGGUCUAUUUUUCUAUGUAGUUUUAUCUCUUUAAUUUUAUGUGUGUGUUUGAUGGUGAUGACAUUAUGAGUCUUGACUUUGAAGACAAUGUCGCACAAAAUGAGAUGCAUGGAUAUAUGUUUGACCAUGUUCGAAACGACAAUAGAUUAUGACAAUAAGGAUUAUAAAAAUAAAUUACAUAAUCUGGUUUAUAAAAAUAAUCUAGAUGGACAUAUUUGAAGGUCAGAUUAUAUAAACUGUAAUUCAGAUUUUACAUUGCAUAGUGACUUGUUUGCCCUCUGGGGUUUUUUUUAAGAAAAAGAGGAGGGUGGCGGUAGCAGAAAUGUAAUUAUCUCCAACUUUACAAGGGUAAUGGGUCAUUACCAAUCCAUAAUCUGAUUUUAGCUGGGUAGAGUAGAUUGUGAGUUUUUAAUAAUAUGUCUAUCUAGUUUUUACAAUCUACACUAUAAUCUGUCCUGUUUGAAGACAAAAUAGAUUAUAAUAACUGGAUUAUAUAAUCUGAGCGGUUCCAAACAGGGCCUUUGUCAUGUUACGGCUAACAUGACCAAUACUAGGGAGCUUGAUUUUGUAGUGUAUCAGGGCUUCAACUGGUCCUUAGGGUGAGUGAUGGAAAGGGAAGUGACAACUUUGGUUUGGUCAAUAAUCUCAUGUUUCGUGUUUAAUUGCUUUCUUUUCCAGUAGUAUAUGGAGAUUAAUCGUCUGUUUGGUAGCCUGCCUUCAAAGGGGUGUGUCCUAGCAUAGCACGUUCAACGAUAUCUGGCUCUUAAAAUCUUAGAGGUAAGGUCUCCUUAUUAUAAUCGUAGAAAAACAUCAAGAUGCAAAAGGAGGAGCUAGAAAUGACCACUUGGAUGAUCUUUUACGUAACUUUUUUUUUAAU
rnacentral:lncRNA from 1 species